rnacentral:rRNA from 1 species
AUUGAACGCUGGCGGCAGGCCUAACACAUGCAAGUCGAGCGAGCGGCGGACGGGUGAGUAAUGUAUGGGGACUGCCCGAUAUUGGGGGAUCACUACUGGAAACGGUAGCUAAUUCCGCAUACUAUCGGAUAACCCAUAUGGGGUUCGCUAGUAGGUGAGGUAAUGGCUAACCUAGGCGACGCUCCCUCGCUGGGCUGAGAGGAUGGUCAGCCACACUGGGACUGAGACACGGCCCAGACUCCGACGGAGGCAGCAGUGGGGAAUAUUGCACAAUGGGCGCAAGCCUGAUGCAGCCAUGCCGCGUGUAUGAAGAAGGCCCUAGGGUUGUAAAGUACUUUCAGUCGGGAGGCGUUACCGACAGAAGAAGCACCGGCUAACUCCGUGCCAGCAGCCGCGGUAAUAC